rnacentral:rRNA from 1 species
AGCUUGCUUCUCUGAUGUUAGCGGCGGACGGGUGAGUAACACGUGGAUAACCUACCUAUAAGACUGGGAUAACUUCGGGAAACCGGAGCUAAUACCGGAUAAUAUUUUGAACCGCAUGGUUCAAAAGUGAAAGNCGGUCUUGCUGUCACUUAUAGAUGGAUCCGCGCUGCAUUAGCUAGUUGGUAAGGUAACGGCUUACCAAGGCAACGAUGCAUAGCCGACCUGAGAGGGUGAUCGGCCACACUGGAACUGAGACACGGUCCAGACUCCUACGGGAGGCAGCAGUAGGGAAUCUUCCGCAAUGGGCGAAAGCCUGACGGAGCAACGCCGCGUGAGUGAUGAAGGUCUUCGGAUCGUAAAACUCUGUUAUUAGGGAAGAACAUAUGUGUAAGUAACUGUGCACAUCUUGACGGUACCUAAUCAGAAAGCCACGGCUAACUACGUGCCAGCAGCCGCGG